rnacentral:rRNA from 1 species
UACGUAGGGGGCAAGCGUUGUCCGGAAUCAUUGGGCGUAAAGAGCUCGUAGGCGGUCCGUCACGUCGGGAGUGAAAACACGGGGCUUAACCCCGUGCCUGCUUCCGAUACGGGCAGACUAGAGGUAUGCAGGGGAGAACGGAAUUCCUGGUGUAGCGGUGAAAUGCGUAGAUAUCAGGAGGAACACCGGUGGCGAAGGCGGCUAUCUGGACAGAGUCUGACGCUGAGGCGCGAAAGCUAGGGGAGCAAACAGG